UACGUAGGUGGCAAGCGUUGUCCGGAAUUAUUGGGCGUAAAGCGCGCGCAGGCGGCUAUGUAAGUCUGGUGUUAAAGCCCGGGGCUCAACCCCGGUACGCACCCGAAACUGCGUAGCUUGAGUGCAGGAGAGGAAAGCGGUAUUCCACGUGUAGCGGUGAAAUGCGUAGAGAUGUGGAGGAACACCAGUGGCGAAGGCGGCUUUCUGGCCUGUAACUGACGCUGAGGCGCGAAAGCGUGGGGAGCAAACAGG
rnacentral:rRNA from 1 species